GUUGCAGACACAGCUCGGAUCCCGCAUGUCUGUGGCUCUGGUGUAGGCUGGUGGCUACGGCUCUGAUUAGACCCCUAGCCUGGGAAUCUCCAUAUGCCUCGGGAACGGCCCAAGAAAUAGCAAAAAGACAAAAAAAAAAAAAAAAAAAAAAAAAAAAAAUUAAAGUGCAGAGCACGAAGCCAAUGAGGAGAAAACAAUUCUUUGGAAACAUCCUUUUAGAGGGCUGACACCUGAAAGUACCUGCUGCUCUCAGCUUUGUAAGAACCACCUCUCCCCAGGCUGACAGCUUCUCAGGCAGAGGUGACGUUCAAGUUCAAGACCCCAGGAGGGAGGGCUGCCGGGGGCGCUGGGUGGGGUCAUGCUGGUGCUGGGAGCUGUGGCCUUGGAGCCCCUGGGGGAUGUGUUUUCCCAGCGUCGACUGGACCCCCCCCGGGGGGGGGCUCAGGAACGUCGUCCUGGGCAGGGGCUCAGGUCAUUCAGCUGGUCCCUGAGUUCAUGGCCAGCAGCCCCUAAACAAGCACAUGGGAAACCAGCUCUUAUGAUGGAAAAAAGGUCAGAUUUCUUUUAGGAAUGGCUGGGUGGCAGAGAGCACCUAACGAAGGGAGAAGGGAUUCUUGCUCGUUCCCCAAACCCCCACAUCCACCUGGGACGCGUUCACUCCCGUUUCGUUCACCCACUCAGGAAGGAGGGAGUUUCAUGGAGUCGCCCGACAAACCCUGUGCAGCGCCCCCUGCCGUUAGGCCUGGUCUCAGCCGCCGGAGGCACAGAGCCCACUGUCCACCUGGGGGCUGCCCGCAGGCUCACGCGUGAGACUGAGGAGAACCCGCAGCUCUGAGCUGCGUGGCCUGCGUCCGCAGAGAGUGAGGGGAGAGGCCUGGGGGCAGAGACGAAGGAAGAGAGGGGACAGGCCCUGGCACAGGGCCUCUGGGCGGCCCGGCGCCAGGCUUCACACGGUGGGUCUUUCUGGGAAAUGGAUGGGGGGACCCAGAGCGGAAGCAGAGGGGCCAGGCAGUUGCUGCCAGCAGGCGGGGCGCAGGGCGGACAGAAGCCAUUUCCAGACAUGCGAGCAGGGCCUCUGGAACCACAAGGCUCACGGCUGCCAGGCCUGCUCUGCCCCAGGGGGGAUGUCACGUGUGGGGACAGAGCGGGGCGGGCCGCUCUCUGUGGAAUCAGCCGGGCUGAGCUCUGCCGCCGGGCGAGCCAGGUCCAGAGGUGCAGUUGGCCGGGGGUCGCACUCCCAGAGGGCAGCGAAGCCCCGCUGCCAACACCGCCAACCUCGGACCUGCUGCCCUCUGCUGCGGGGACCUGGCCUCGGAGCUCGGUCAGGUCAGGAGCAACACCCGUGAGAGAAGAAAGGAGGCUUCCGAGAAGGGGAACUUUCACAAACAGAUUUGCAUUUGCACCAAAGGUUACUGAAGCCUGCUGGGCUCGUAGGCCUCCCGGGAGCUCUGUUUCCAGGGAGAAGCAGAGGGAGGGAGAAGGGGAGGGAGGAAUGAGGGAUCGUGUUUCCAGCGGGUGGGCCUGGCAGGCAGGCCCAGGAGGCCUCGGCUGGGUGCUCGGGCACAAACGGCCUGUUAAUAUUUAAUCCCCGCAAGGCCAAGGUCUGGAGAUGAAACCAAAGACAGGGUUUGCCAGGCUAGGCCACAGGGGCUGCCCCAUCCAGCCCCCCUGCCUCUGAGCUCUGGGGAGGAGGGUCCUAGCGAACAGAGAAGGGGGGUGGGGGGUCGUGGGGUUCAGUCUCCUCGCACCAUGCCAACUGGAAAGGAAGAGUGUCCAGAGGGGGAGAAUGAUGGGGUGGGGCUUCAGGUCCCAUUAGGGCCCAUGGGUGGGCCCCCUCCUUCCCCGGCUGAAGGCUGCAGGGAGGACCCCAGUGGGGGGGGGGGUGAGGAUGGGGAGACGGCCUGGGCCUGAUGCUGGAGCACGUUUGAACAUUUUAAUUUCCUUCCUCUUUCCAAUUUGAUGUUUGAGUUUUAAAAAUUUGAUAUUUAAAAAAUUUUGAAUUAGAAAAAUUUGAUAUUUAUAAUUAUUUUUCACUCGCUAGCACCUUCCCGCCGUUCAAAAAGUUAAAAACGGGAUCCUGUCACAGUGGUAAGUCUCCCCCUUCCUUGUCCCCAGCCCCACGGCGACUGCGCAGUUUGGUUUUGGACGUCCCUUCAGACGCCCAUGUGCACCUGCAAGCAGACGGCUAAGACGUGGGCUGUUCCUCCUGUGCUCCGCGCUGGCUGCGGGCCUGGCCACCCAGCAUCCGCUGUGGGGCUGGACCACCCUUGGUUUACUGUCUCUCGGCCAAGGGCGGCUCAUUCCUGGUCCUGCCCCCUCUGUGGCCCCUUCACAUCCUCAGGAGUGAACUGACAGUCGCAUUAACCAAAGAGGAACUGGGGAGUUGGAGUCCAUCAGUGAGUGACGCUCCCCCAGUGUCCACAGGUGUUUUCAUGUCGCAGUGGUCUGAAAGCCACGAUUUUGUGGGUUUUUUUUUUUUUUUUUUUUGUCUUUUUAGGGCUGCACCGGAGGCAUAUGGAGGUUCCCAGGCUAGGGGUCUAAUCUGAGCUAUUGCUGCAGGCCUAUGCCAGAGCCACAGCAAUGACAGAUCCUUAACCCGCUGAGUGAGGCCAAGGAUCGAAUUUGCAACCUCAUGGUUCCUAGUCAGAUUCGUUUCUGUUGUGCCACAAAGGGAACUCCGUAAAGCCAUGAUUUUGUUUUUACAAAAAGCAUUAAACAGGAGUUCCUUCCGUGGUGCAACAGAAACAAACCUGACUAGGAACCAUGAGGUUUUGGGUUCAAUCCCUGGCCUUGCUCAGUGGGGUAAGAAUCUGGCACUGCCAUGAGCUGUGGUGUAGGUUGCAGACGCGGCUUGGAUCCCUUGUUGCUGUGGCUGUGGUGUAGGCCGGCAGCUACAGCUCCGAUUCAACCCCUAGCCUGGGAACAUCCAUAUGCUGCGGGUACGGCCCUAAAAAAAAAAAAAAGCCAUUGAACAGGCACUGUGGCCCAGGAAUUCAGAGAGGCUGAGCUCAGGGGACCUGGCUGGCACAGCCCCAUCGCCUCAACGCUGAACUCGGAGGAAACCGGCGACAGAGGGGCGGGCCGAGGAGGACGCAGGAGUGUCUGCCAGAGUCACACCGGCAAGAUGCCACCCCCACCUGGGGCCUCUGCUGGGAAAACAGGAUCUUUCUGCAAGGCCAGGUUUCCAGCAAGUGCAUGCUUAUUGGAGCUGGUGAAAGGAGAGGGCUUUAAGAAAUGGCCCAUCAGCAAUCCUGGGAAAGAAAAAUGGAGCUGAAGGAAUCAGGCUCCCUGACUUCAGACUGUAUGACAAAGCUACAGGAAUCAAAAUAGUAUGGUAUUGGCACAAACCACAAACAUAGAUCAAUGGAACAAGGUAGAGAGUCCAGAAAUAAACCCACACGACUAUGGUCAAUUAAUCUACAACGAGGGAGGCAAGACUAUACAAUGGAGAAAAGACAGCCUCUUCAAUAAGCAGAGCUGGGAAAACUGGACAGCACAGGUAAAAGAAUGAAGUUAGAACCUUCUCUUAUACCAUGCACACAAUAGACUCAAAUGGAUUAAAAGACCAAAAUGUAAGACCAGGUGCUGUGAAACGCCUAGAGGAAAACACAGGCAGAACCCUUUUUGACAUAAAUCACAACACUCUCUUUUUGGAUUCACCUACUCGGGGAAUGAAAAUGAAAAUAAAAAUAAAUGAAUAGGACCAAACUAAACUCAACAGCUUCUGCACAGCAAAGGAAGCAUAGACAAAACAAAAAGACAACCCACAGAAUGGGAGAAAAUCUUUGCCAGUGAAGUGGCUGACAAGGGGUUAUUAAUUUCGAAAAUACACAAACAGCUCAGGCAGCUCAAUAUAAAAAAAAAGUCUGGUCAAAAAUUGAGAAGACCUAAAUAGACAUUUCUCCAAAGACAGACAACAUGGCCAAACAGCACAUGAAAAGAUGCUCAACACUGCUAAUUUUUAGAGAAACAUAAAUCAAAAC